GGACGGCGGUGGCGACGGAGGAGGGAGAGUCUGCCCUCGCGGCCUUACGGGGUCGACAAGGCUACUUGAAUUGAUUUGCAAUUAUGUGAAUUGUAUGUGAAACUCUUUACUUGUAUGGUUAUUCUAAAGUUGUCCCUAGUCGGAGUUUAUGUGAGGACACACAUGAAUAUUAGACUAGCACAUGUAUUAGUUGAUGACUAUGUUUCACAAGUCAUAGACAUGGAGAUGUUGAACUAAUA
rnacentral:lncRNA from 1 species